UGCGGAUGAGGCAACCGGUAUCCGGAAUUAUUGGGCGUAAAGCGUCCGUAGGUGGGUGGCCAAGUCUGCUGUCAAAGGGUGGGGCUUAUCCUCAUAAAGGCAGUGGAAACUGGCGAGCUAGAGUGCGGUAGGGGUAGGGGGAAUUCCCAGUGUAGCGGUGAAAUGCGUAGAGAUUGGGAAGAACAUCGGUGGCGAAAUCGCCCUGCUGUGCCUGCACUGCCACUGAGGGACGAAAGCUAGGGGAGCGAAAGGG
rnacentral:rRNA from 1 species